rnacentral:rRNA from 1 species
CCUACGGGCGGCAGCAGUAGGGAAUCUUUCACAAUGGGCGAAAGCCUGAUGGAGCAACGCCGCGUGCAGGAUGAAGGCCUUCGGGUUGUAAACUGCUUUUAUAAGCGAGAAAUAUGAUGGUAACUUAUGAAUAAGGAUCGGCUAACUACGUGCCAGCAGCCGCGGUCAUACGUAGGAUCCGAUCAUUAUCCGGAGUGACUGGGUGUAAAGAGUUGCGUAGGUGGCAUAAUAAGUAGCUAGUGAAAUCUGGUGGCUCAACCAUUCAGACUAUUAGCUAAACUGUUAAGCUCGAGACCGUUAGGGGUAACUGGAAUUUCUAGUGUUGGAGUGAAAUCCGUAGAUAUUAGAAGGAACACCAAUAGCGUAGGCAGGUUGCUGGGACGGUUCUGACACUAAGGCACGUAGGCGUAGGGAGCAAACGGGAUUAGAUACCCCAGUAGUC